GGUAAUGCCGGAUGCUCCGACUCCUCGCAUGGGGUGUCGGGAAAGAUUUCAUCGGUAUGGGAUGGGGUCGCGUCCUAUCAGGUAGUCGGCGGGGUAACGGCCCACCGAGCCUACGACGGGUAGCCGGCCUGAGAGGGCGACCGGCCACAUUGGGACUGAGAUACGGCCCAGACUCCUACGGGAGGCAGCAGUGGGGAAUAUUGCACAAUGGGCGCAAGCCUGAUGCAGCGACGCCGCGUGCGGGAUGACGGCCUUCGGGUUGUAAACCGCUUUUGAUCGGGAGCAAGCCUUCGGGUGAGUGUACCUUUCGAAUAAGCACCGGCUAACUACGUGCCAGCAGCCGCGGUAAUACGUAGGGUGCAAGCGUUAUCCGGAAUUAUUGGGCGUAAAGGGCUCGUAGGCGGUUCGUCGCGUCCGGUGUGAAAGUCCAUCGCUUAACGGUGGAUCUGCGCCGGGUACGGGCGGGCUGGAGUGCGGUAGGGGAGACUGGAAUUCCCGGUGUAACGGUGGAAUGUGUAGAUAUCGAAAAAAAAA
rnacentral:rRNA from 1 species